CAGGCCUAACACAUGCAAGUCGAGCGGAUGACAGGAGCUUGCUCCUGGAUUCAGCGGCGGACGGGUGAGUAAUGCCUAGGAAUCUGCCUGGUAGUGGGGGACAACGUUUCGAAAGGAACGCUAAUACCGCAUACGUCCUACGGGAGAAAGCAGGGGACCUUCGGGCCUUGCGCUAUCAGAUGAGCCUAGGUCGGAUUAGCUUGUUGGUGAGGUAAUGGCUCACCAAGGCGACGAUCCGUAACUGGUCUGAGAGGAUGAUCAGUCACACUGGAACUGAGACACGGUCCAGACUCCUACGGGAGGCAGCAGUGGGGAAUAUUGGACAAUGGGCGAAAGCCUGAUCCAGCCAUGCCGCGUGUGUGAAGAAGGUCUUCGGAUUGUAAAGCACUUUAAGUUGGGAGGAAGGGUUGUAGAUUAAUACUCUGCAAUUUUGACGUUCUCGACAGAAUAAGCACCGUUUAACUCAGUGCCAGCAGCCGCGGUUA
rnacentral:rRNA from 1 species